rnacentral:rRNA from 1 species
UGCCCUAGUAACGGCGAGUGAAGCGGCAACAGCUCAAAUUUGAAAUCUGGCGUCUUUGGCGUCCGAGUUGUAAUUUGCAGAGGGCGCUUUGGCAUUGGCAGCGGUCCAAGUUCCUUGGAACAGGACGUCACAGAGGGUGAGAAUCCCGUACGUGGUCGCUAGCCUUUACCGUGUAAAGCCCCUUCGACGAGUCGAGUUGUUUGGGAAUGCAGCUCUAAAUGGGAGGUAAAUUUCUUCUAAAGCUAAAUACUGGCCAGAGACCGAUAGCGCACAAGUAGAGUGAUCGAAAGAUGAAAAGCACUUUGGAAAGAGAGUUAAAAAGCCACGUGAAAUUGUUGAAAGGGAAGCGCUUGCAGCCAGACUUGCCUGUAGUUGCUCAUCCGGGUUUUUACCCGGUGCACUCUUCUAUAGGCAGGCCAGCAUCAGUUUGGGCGGUUGGAUAAAGGUCUCUGUCACGUACCUCCUCUCGGGGAGAACUUAUAGGGGAGACGUAAUGCAACCAGCCUGGACUGAGGUCCGCGCAUCUGCUAGGAUGCUGGCGUAAUGGCUGUAAGCGGCCCGUCUUGAAACACGGACCAAGGAGUCUAACAUCUAUGCGAGUGUUUGGGUGUCAAGCCCGAGCGCGUAAUGAAAGUGAACGGAGGUGGGAACCUUUCGGGGUGCACCAUCGACCGAUCCUGAUGUCUUCGGAUGGAUUUGAGUAAGAGCAUAGCUGUUGGGACCCGAAAGAUGGUGAACUAUGCUUGAAUAGGGUGAAGCCAGAGGAAACUCUGGUGGAGGCUCGCAGCGGUUCUGACGUGCAAAUCGAUCGUCAAAUUUGGGCAUAGGGGCGAAAGACUAAUCGAACUAUCUAGUAGCUGGUUCCUGCCGAAGUUUCCCUCAGGAUAGCAGUAACGUUUUCAGUUUUAUGAGGUAAAGCGAAUGAUUAGAGGCCUGGGGGUUGAAACAACCUUCACCUAUUCUCAAACUUUAAAUAUGUAAGAAGUCCUUGUUACUUAAUUGAACGUGGACAGUUGAAUGUAUCGUUACUAGUGGGCCAUUUUUGGUAAGCAGAACUGGCGAUGCGGGAUGAACCGAACGCGGGGUUAAGGUGCCAGAAUAUACGCUCAUCAGACACCACAAAAGGUGUUAGUUCAUCUAGACAGCAGGACGGUGGCCAUGGAAGUCGGAAUCCGCUAAGGAGUGUGUAACAACUCACCUGCCGAAUGAACUAGCCCUGAAAAUGGAUGGCGCUCAAGCGUAUUACCCAUACCCCGCCGCUGGGGCAAGAUUUAAGCCCCAGCGAGUAGGCAGGCGUGGAGGUCCGUGACGAAGCCUGG